rnacentral:rRNA from 1 species
UGCAGCAGGCGCGAAACCUCCGCAAUGCGGGAAACCGCGACGGGGGGACCCCGAGUGCCGUGGCAACGCCACGGCUUUUCCGGAGUGUAAAAAGCUCCGGGAAUAAGGGCCGGGCAAGGCCGGUGGCAGCCGCCGCGGUAAUAC